rnacentral:rRNA from 1 species
UGAGUUUUUGAUCAUGGUUCAGAACGAACGCUGGCGGCGUGCCUAACACAUGCAAGUCGAACGUGAUCCGCCCUUCGGGGUGGUGAAAGUGGCGCACGGGUGAGUAACGCGUGGAUAAUCUGCCCGAGGAUUUGGGAUAACAUCUCGAAAGGGGUGCUAAUACCGAAUAAGCCCACGGGGUCUACGGAUCUUGCGGGAAAAGGGGGGGACCUUCGGGCCUCCUGUCCUUGGAUGAGUCUGCGUACCAUUAGCUAGUUGGUGGGGUAAUGGCCUACCAAGGCGACGAUGGUUAGCUGGUCUGAGAGGAUGAUCAGCCACACUGGAACUGAGACACGGUCCAGACUCCUACGGGAGGCAGCAGUGGGGAAUUUUGCGCAAUGGGGGAAACCCUGACGCAGCAACGCCGCGUGGGUGAUGAAGGCCUUCGGGUCGUAAAGCUCUGUCUGGAGGGAAGAAAUGAUUGGGAGCUAAUACCUCUUGAUCUUGACGGUACCUCUGAAGGAAGCACCGGCUAACUCCGUGCCAGCAGCCGCGGUAAUAC